rnacentral:lncRNA from 1 species
CUGGGGAGAGGGCCAUUUUCGGAGCAAACACAGAGAGCCGUUUCCUAAGAAAGGGAAUGAAUGGUAGACAGGCAGAAAUCACACGUGCCCCCUGAGUGCAGCCAUGCCAGGCAUGGCCAGCAAGCGCUCCCAUGGAGAAAAACUAUUUCUACAGGUAACAGCCCUCCACAGGGGUGUUGGGGCUCCGCUUUCCAACCUCUUUCUUCCUUGGGAGCAAAAACUCUGUGGCUGCCAGGACCUGCGUCUCUGAAAACCCCCGUAAAGCUUCAAAGGGGCCUGUCCACCUCGCCAGCUUUGAUCUCCGGAGGAAACUUGCUCAGACACAUGAUCCAAAGGAAUGUGUACAAUUCCACAACAAAAACUGCUCAUCUUGCUUCUACGGAAGCUGUAAGGACGAGAAAGUGGAGCGCUGUCGCGGAAAGAGGCAGAAAUUUGGUGACACAAGAGCGAUCUCAGGACAGGGUGGAGCCAGGGAUCAGGACUGUGGUGCCCAGUCCCAGCUCAGCUAAGCCAAUGUGCGUCUUUGUCUCCUAGGUGUUCAACUUGAACUUCUGAAGGUGGUGCCACUGAGCUCCCGACUCCAGAAUCUCCCAGCCAGUGCAUUUGAGAUUGCUCCGUCCAUCACACACAGGGAUGGCCGCUCCCUUGGAGGGAAGUGUCUGAGCUGGGGACUCUUGGAUGUCGCUCCUCCUGGAUUAGGGAAUGGUGGACCCAGGCCCCUGUUUCAGCCCCUUGCGUUGCACUGUUCUGGAAGACUCAGUUCAACCUUCAUCUCUUAGUGCAGGGGAAUAUGUGUCAGAGUGUGUGCGAUGGCACCAGGCUGGAAUAAAAGAAUGAGAUUCCUUUGCAGUUUGGAGGUAAAGCUCAGUCACCACCCAGAGACAAUGAGAAAAGCUGCCUCAUCUGGAGGAGACAGUGUGGGGCUGAAAGUCGGCUCAGAUACUGUUAUGGGGCAGCAGGAGACACAUCUCAGCCUACUCUUCUUUCAUCUGAGAGGAGAAAGCACUCAAAGGGCUUUAAAUUAAAAUCAAUUUCUGUUCAAUCCUGGGCUAAUUUGGUUGGCCAUCUCUUUCAGCUUGAAUGGAGGUGCAAUAAAGCGAGGGCACGUUCUGAGAGAUCUGGAAGGACCCUUGGAAGUGAUCUCAUCCUGCCUCCCUCCGGGGAGCCAGGGAAGGCCUGAGCCCUACGGGGUGAUGACAAGCCGGCCUCUGCCCAGGGCAUCCUGUCGAGGUCCUGGAGAGAUCUGUGUCCCUGGUCACACUGGGACAGUGUCAGCUCCCAUCCAUCUGGUCCUAAUUCUUGCUCCUAAUUCUGCCUCCUGGUUCGCAGAACCCGGAGACCCCUAGACAACAUGACAGGCACCACACUGAACGUGGGACUCACUUGAUCCCUUGUGUGUUCCUCUGAGGGGGGCUCAUGCUCACAUGCGAGGGAUCAGAGGCUCCAAGAAGGACAGGGACUUGCUGCCGGUCACACAGCUUAGGGCUGCAUGGUGGGUUAUGGAGUGAUCUCCCCCAAAAUGGCACAGCCACACCCUAAUCUCUGGUACCUAACAAUGUGAACUUAUUUGGUUUCUGCAGAUGUAAUUAAGUUAAGGAUCUGGAGGCGUAAUCAUCUAGAUUUAAGGUGGACCCUAAAUCCAAUGGCUGUGUUUUCAUAAAAGAAAGGAGAAUGAGACAGAGACAGACACAGUAGGGAGGCCGCAUGAAGACAGAGGCAGAGACGGGAGCAGAGAGGCCACAAACCAGGGAAACCGGGAGCCACUGGGUGCUGGAAGAGGUGCCAGGACCCUCCCCUAGAGCCCCGCUCUGGUUGUGUAGCCGCUUCACAGGGACGCCUGCUUAGGGGACAAGGGGAAGAGGUAGAGGGUGGUCAGAGGCAUGGAAACAGGAGAGGAGGACGCUGCCUGUUCAUCCACAGCCGUCCCCUUCUGGAAAGCCUUUCUGAACGGGAAGGUGGGCUGCCUACCAUGAGCUGCAGUGACAGCCCCUCACAGCCACUGUCCUCCAGGCUGUCCCAGGAGGCACCUGAGCUCAUACAGAUCGGGGGUUUCCCACUCCCAGAGCCUCCGGGGGCUCGGUGCCCCUCUGCCCACUUUGUGUCCGGCUGAUCAGGAGGCUCACGUCGGCCUCCUCAGAGCAAAGCUCACCCACAUCCCACGCAGGGAUGGGCAGGACCUGUGAGCCCACCCUGUGACAGGAAGGCCCCACAGUACAGAUACAGGGAGCCCCUCCAAUGGCACGCACCACCAGGGUGCCAGAUCAGGCUAGACCAGUGGCCAGCACCCACCUGCAGUGCAGGCCAUCCUGAAAUCCUGUUUCCACACCUCCUGAGCCCCUCUUCCCUGUAUGGCCUCCAGGCCGCCUCCCUCUGUCAGGAUUAAGCCCAGCUUCCUCACGGAGACCGUGUCUGUCUCCAUCCCCGGCACCGUCUCCAUCCCCAGGCACCGUCUCCAUCCCCAGGCACCCUCACACUCACUCCCAGCUGCAUGGCCGCCACCCACCCAGCUGGGGUUUCCAUUAGGCCCCGUAGGUUCCCCACCUCGGUCUCCUUCAGUGGGUUCCUUCUACACCACUGAGGUCAGGGCCACAUCACAGUCAUUUCUGUGUGUCCAGGGCUGUGAACACGGAGCUGCCGCGGUCAGCAUUCCCUGUACAUGGAUGUAGGGUCAGGACCACUGUACCCUGUGGGGGCCUAGGUCACCGAGAAAUCCCAGGCCUUGUUCAGAGAUGGUGAAGGGUGCCCGGUGGCAACAGCAGGGUGUCCUCUGAGCCCUGGCACUUCUGAGCUCAGGGCUGAGUGACCACACAGGUAGCUGCUGUGGGCCCAGCCCUUCUGCAUCGUGCUGGGGGGAUGCGGGGUCUCUGUUGCCUUCUCGGGUCCCAGGGAGAUGUGCCUUCUGUGCCCACGUCUCAGCGGCUCCCACGGCCCAUCCAGUGAACCGGGAAGUGUGAAUGAGCACCUGCUCGGGCCAGUGAUUCAUCCGAGUGUC